UGCAGAGGUGGCAAGCGUUGUUCGGAAUUACUGGGCGUAAAGGGCGCGUAGGCGGUCUUGCAAGUCCUGUGUGAAAUCCCUCGGCUCAACUGAGGAACUGCACAGGAAACUGCUUGGCUUGAGUUCGGGAGAGGGAAGCGGAAUUCCGGGUGUAGCGGUGAAAUGCGUAGAUAUCCGGAGGAACACCGGUGGCGAAGGCGGCUUCCUGGACCGACACUGACGCUGAGGCGCGAAAGCUAGGGGAGCAAACAGG
rnacentral:rRNA from 1 species